GUUCUCGAUCUUAAGUCCACAUACCAACUCAAGGCCUAACUUGUUCUCGAUCCUAAGUCCACAUACCAACUCAAGGCCUAACUUGUUCUCGAUCCUAGGUCCACAUACCAACUCAUGGCCGAGCUUGUCUAGAUCCUAGGUCUACAUACCAACUCAUGGCCUAACUUGUUCUCAAUCCUAAGUCCACAUACCAACUCAAGGCCUAACUUGUUCCCAAACCUAGGUCCACAUACCAACUCAUGGCCUGAGCUUGUCUAGAUCCUAGGUCCACAUACCAACUCAUGGCCUAACUUGUUCUCGAUCCUAAGUCCACAUACCAACUCAAGGCCUAACUUGUUCCCGAUCCUAGGUCUACAUACCAACUCAAGGCCUAACUUGUUCCCAAACCUAGGUCCACAUACCAACUCAUGGCCCGAGCUUGUCUAGAUCCUAGGUCCACAUACCAACUCAUGGCCUAAGCUUGUCUAGAUCCUAGGUCUACAUACCAACUCAUGGCCUAACUUGUUCUCAAUCCUAAGUCCA